rnacentral:rRNA from 1 species
GAUGAACGCUGGCGGCGUGCCUAAUCCAUGCAAGUCGAGCGAACAGAAGAGGAGCUUGCUCCUCUGACGUUAGCGGCGGACGGGUGAGUAACACGUGGUUAACCUACAUUUAAGACUGGGAUAACUUCGGGAAAACGGAGCUAAUAUCGGAUAAUAUAUUGAACCGCAUGGUUCAAUAGUGAAAGACGGUUUUGCUGUCACUUAUAGAUGGAUCCGCGCCGCAUUAGCUAGUUGGUAAGGUAACGGCUUACCAAGGCAACGAUGCGUAGCCGACCUGAGAGGGUGAUCAGCCACACUGGAACUGAGACACGGUCCAGACUCCUACGGGAGGCAGCAGUAGGGAAUCUUCCACAAUGGGCGAAAGCCUGACGGAGCAACGCCGCGUGAGUGAUGAAGGUCUUCGGAUCGUAAAACUCUGUUAUUAGGGAAGAACAAAUGUGUAAGUAACUAUGCACGUCUUGACGGUACCUAAACAGAAAGCCACGGCUAACUUCGUG